rnacentral:piRNA from 1 species
UGGCAUCUUCAGUAUGACCUGCUUCCCCAGU